GACAGAGGGUGCAAACGUUGUUCGGAAUUACUGGGCGUAAAGCGUGUGUAGGCGGUCAUGCAAGUCGGAUGUGAAAGCCCCGGGCUCAACCCGGGAAGUGCACUCGAUACUGCGUGACUUGAGUAUCGGAGAGGUUGGUGGAAUUCUCGGUGUAGAGGUGAAAUUCGUAGAUAUCGAGAGGAACACCGGCGGCGAAGGCGGCCAACUGGACGAAUACUGACGCUGAGACACGAAAGCGUGGGGAGCAAACAGG
rnacentral:rRNA from 1 species